CCUGCUUAGAUCAGCAUCAUUUGCUUUCUAGUUACAAACUUCAUCCCUUGGGACAGGCCCCUUGAGCCGUCCGUGGUUUUUCCUGCUGACUCAAUCCACCAGCUGGACCUUCAGGGCACACACCAAAGUCUUGGGCCCUGUGGGGGCCGGGGGCUGAUCCAAAACCCACUUUGCAGUCAGUGGGAAGAACCUGUGGAUUCCAGUGCCCCUGAAUUAGGCCUUGGGAGAGGGCUGAGUGCAUAGGAGGGGUGUUGUAUUCAUUUGGAUGGAAGAAAUGGGCCCAAAGAGUCAAAGAUGUGAACAUGAGCAUGUCACUGUCCAACAUUAAACAAGCUUCGGGGUUUAGUUUACAGAGACCUCAACCUGUUUAGGCCAAUGGCCAAAACAAAACAAAAAAACUUUUUAAAACCCUCUUCUAUCUUUUUAAGACACAGAACAGAAAGAAAGCCAGCUAAAGCAUUUGAAAUGUAAAGUAUCACGAGGCUUUUAUUUGAACAAUGUCCCUUGUUCUCUUUCCCUGUAGCUGGAGCGCCUUUAGAAGGAACCCCUCCUGUUUCAGGGAGUUGUAGAUGGUGUUAAAGUUAUAAAGUAGUAACUGCCCUUGUGGGGAGGGAGAAGAGAAAAGGUCGGUGGGAGAGGCUGCAGUUGUUACUGUUGUAGUUAAAGUCCAGGCCCGUUUCCUAAAAGACAGAACAAGACAAACACACACAAGAGGGAAAGAAGACAACAGCAAAGACAGACAAUGCAACUUCUGUCUCUGGUGCAGACUCUCUCUUGCAACCUCCCUGCUGGAAAAAACAACAACAGGCCCGCACAUGGUCUUCUUAACCACUCUGAGGCCAGCAGCUGUGGCUGCACAUGACCUGUAUGAAGCCUGCACUGAACUAGGGCGGAUGGUCUCCAGGGAGCCUGGUGGGAUGCUGCCCUGGGCUGCUAGAUGGCAGCAAACGUUCCAGAGACUGAAAGCAGCUGGCUUCAUGCAGCCGCAUUGUUUCACAGAUGGUGGCACUAAGACAUGGAGCUAGACUGCUUUAUUCAACGCCCGGAGAGAGAAGAGCGCAAUGAACCCAGGCAAAGGGCUGGUCGAAAAAUUUCCCUCAAAACUGGUUUUUUUUUAAUUGGGUGAAACCUUCUUAUUGGUCGUGUUAAAAAGCUUGUGUGAAUGCGCCCUUCAGUGAACAUAAUGUAGGGCUAAAUGAAUCACAAGCCCUCACCUAAAGCCAAAGGGUAACGUGAACCCGCCCAGGGGGUUUGGACUCUGUGGGCGGAAGAGCUUUGCUGAGUAUUGUUUUGGAUGAGAGGGAGAACAAGGCGGAACUCCAAGGAAGACAGCCUGAAGGAAUAGCUGAACGCAUGGACUCUGACCCUCGGCGAAGGUGCAGGCUGAAAAGCGAGCCCCUGGGGC